rnacentral:rRNA from 1 species
AGUGAACGCUGGCGGUAGGCCUAACACAUGCAAGUCGAACGGCAGCACAGUAAGAGCUUGCUCUUACGGGUGGCGAGUGGCGGACGGGUGUGGAAUACAUCGGCAUCUACUUUUUCGUGGGGGCUAACGUAGGGAAACUUACGCUCAUACCGCAUACGACCUUCGGGUUAAAGCAGGUCAUCUUCGGACCUUGCGCGAUUGAAUGUGCCAAUGUCGGUUUACCUAGUUGGCGGGUUAAACACCCACCAAGGAGACGAUCCGUAGCUGGUCUGAGAGAAUGAUCAGCCACACUGGAACUGAGACACGAACCAUACUCCUACGGGAGCGAACAGUGGGGAAUAUUGGAAAAUGAGCGAAAGCAUGAUCCAGCCAUACCGCGUGGGUGAAGAAGGCCUUCGGGUUGUAAAGACCUUAUGUAGGGAAAGAAAAGCAGCAGGUUAAUACCCCGCUGUGCUGACGGUACCCAAAGAAUAAGCACCGGCUAACUUCGUG